AAGCCCCGGCACCGACUUAGGUGCGUCUUCGAACUUGCAUUUCAACGUGCUGCCACCGCGGGG
rnacentral:tRNA from 1 species